rnacentral:lncRNA from 1 species
UUUGACCAAAAAAUAAUUAUAUUGAGAAUAUAAAAAUUACAACCAGUAUUAUCACAGUUGGCCCAACAUAUCUUACAAGGGUGAUUCCAGUAACUACAUCAAACUCUAUAUAAGAAGAUUAAUUAUUCAAUUAAACCCCCCAAAAAUUGAAUCAUUUCUCAAUAAUCUGCACUAGUGUUACAUUCUUAGCUUUUUAUUUAAUUCCCAAAUCUUUUAACAUUUACCUUUUGAUGCAUUGAAAAUAUCUGAAAUACUUUCACAGUUUUACAGGAGCAAGAGCAAAGCCACUUAAUCCUUUUGCCCCUUGCUGUUUGCUUUAAGACCUUUUGACCCCUGCUAUACAACCAGGGAUGGCAAAAACCGGGUCCGGGUCCGGGUUUGGCCUUCCCGGUUCCGGACCCGGACACUAAAAUGUUGUACCGGACCCGGAUUUAAACCCGGAUUUUAUGACACCGGGUCCGGUACGGGUUAAACCCGGAAUAAUCCGGGUUUCCGGACUGCGGGUUUUCAACCCGGAUCACAUACAAAUAAAAUAAAAAAAAUCAAAUUCACUUCACAAAUUUACAAAACCAGAUUCUACCCAAAUCAAAUACAAAGCAAUAAACCAUUUUAAAUUUACAGAUUUUAAAUUUCAAAGCAAUAAACCAUUUAUAAAUACAGAUCUAUGAUAUAACAUUCACAAAAUACAAAUCCAUGUCUACAAUUCACAUCACAGCCGCGAUUCACAGAUUUAGUUCACAAACUUCAACAAUCGGUGUCUAGUAAAGCAAUGAACAACAGCUGUUGAUGAUAUGAUGAUGAUGAACGCGUCACAGACGCGAGCGUUAUUCGCAAAAGGCGUAUGGAUGGCAGCCAAAACCAAGAUCGCGAUGGACAAACGGCUGCCAAACGGAGGCUGAUGAUGAUGAUGAGCGGGAACACAACGAUGUGAAGUGAUGACGAGUGACAAUGACGAUUUGAUGAAGAGAAGAACUGAAGAGAGACGAAAAGGAUGAUUUGAUGAAGAGAAGAGGAGAAGAGAAGAGAAAAGGUGAAGAGAUAGGAGAAGAAUGAAUUGGCGGCUGUGAAGUGAAAGUGUGAACUAGGGUUACUGACUUUUUUUCCCUUUUUAUAUUAAAAAAAAUAAUUUAAAUAUAAUAUUAAAAUAAGGACAUCCGGGUCCGGGUUCCGCAUAUGCGGGUUUAUGCGAACCCGGAACCGGACCCGGAAACGUCCGGGUUGGCAAAAUCACAUCCGGAUCCGGAUUUAUUUUUAAUCCGGUACGGGUUGAACCCGUACCGGAUUAUCCGGGUUCGUCCGGGUCCGGGCCGGGUCCGGGUUAAAUUGCCAUCUCUAUAUACAACAAGCC